rnacentral:misc_RNA from 1 species
AAUUUUCAACCUCUUCCUUUUCUUUCAAAAAGAAAGACGGCUUGGACUUCUGGAAGUUGCUGGCGUUGCAUUAGCAUUAGUUCAGCUCUUCUCAAACCUAUUAGCACGGUUGCUUCUGGUUAAUCCCUUGGUAUGAUAAUUAUCUAUGCCUUUUGGAAUUUCUGGACGUUCGGCACUGCGCUUCCAAUUGUCUGCAAAGACAAACUUUGAACAA